AAAGGAGAGAUCCGGUACCGGCUGGGCAUGCGGCGCAUUAGCUAGUUGGCGGGGCAACGGCCCACCAAGGCGACGAUGCGUAGGGGUUCUGAGAGGAAGGUCCCCCACACUGGAACUGAGACACGGUCCAGACUCCUACGGGAGGCAGCAGUGAGGAAUAUUGGUCAAUGGGCGCAAGCCUGAACCAGCCAAGUCGCGUGAGGGAAGACGGCCCUACGGGUUGUAAACCUCUUUUGCCGGGGAGCAAGCCUGAGCACGUGUGCCCAGGCGGAGAGUACCCGGAGAAAAAGCAUCGGCUAACUCCGUGCCAGCAGCCGCGGUAAUACGGAGGAUGCGAGCGUUAUCCGGAUUUAUUGGGUUUAAAGGGUGCGCAGGCGGGCUGUUAAGCCGGCGGUAAAAAUUCAGGGCUCAACCCUGUCGAGCCGUCGGAACUGGCAGUCUUGAGUGGGCGAGAAGUAUGCGGAAUGCGUGGUGUAGCGGUGAAAUGCAUAGAUAUCACGCAGAACGCCGAUUGCGAAGGCAGCAUACCGGCGCCCAACUGACGCUGAGGCACGAAAGCGUGGGGAUCGAACAGGAUUAGAUACCCUGGUAGUCCACGCAGUAAACGAUGAGCGCUAACUGUCCGGAGCGAGCGAGCUCUGG
rnacentral:rRNA from 1 species